rnacentral:tRNA from 1 species
CAGGGUGUAGUUAAGCCAGAAAAACAUUUCCCUUACACUGAAAAGACAUCCGUGCAAAUCGGGUCACCCUGA